UCAUCAUGAAAAAUAAGCUGAACACGAUUCUGUAGGAGAAAACGAGAACGAUAGGUUCUUGAGGGAUGCUACGAGGCGACAUCUCGCGAUUUGGCGAAACGACGUUUUACCCAGGGCUCAGCAUGGACGUCAGUAACACGUUGGACUUCCAUUUCUCUCCUCCGAAGCUUUUGUAUAUCCGUGCGGCCACGUAUCCCGCGGUAGUUCCCAGGCAGACGUACAA